UACAGGGGGGGCAAGCGUUGUUCGGAAUUACUGGGCGUAAAGGGUCUGUAGGUGGCCCAACUAAGUCAGACGUGAAAUCCCUCAGCUUAACUGGGGAACUGCGUCUGAUACUGGAUGGCUUGAGUGUGGGAGAGGAAUGCGGAAUUCCAGGUGUAGCGGUGAAAUGCGUAGAUAUCUGGAGGAACACCGGUGGCGAAGGCGGCAUUCUGGACCAUAACUGACACUGAGAGACGAAAGCCAGGGGAGCAAACGGG
rnacentral:rRNA from 1 species